CCCCCGAUGGUCUAGUUGGAUAUGGCGUUCGGCUGUAAACCGAAAGGUCGCCGGCUCGAUUCCGGCUCGGGGGA
rnacentral:tRNA from 9 species